rnacentral:tRNA from 1 species
GCCUGGGUGGCUCAGUCGGUUAAGCGUCUGACUUCAGCUCAGGUCAUGAUCUCGCAGUUUGUGAGUUCAAGCCCCACAUCGGGCU